CAUGCAAGUCGAACGGACGGAGGAAAGAGAUCUCUUCGGAGUGACCUUUCCCGAGUUAGCGGCGGAUGGGUGAGUAACGCGUGAGUGACCUGCCCAGCAGUGGGGAAUAACAGUGACAAAUCAUUGCUAAUACCGCAUACCUUACAAGUGCUUCAUGGUACCUGUAAGAAAGACGGCCUUCGUGCUGUCGCUGUUGGAUGGACUCGCGUCUGAUUAGCCAGUUGGUGGGGUAACGGCCUACCAAAGCAAUGAUCAGUAGCCGGCCUGAGAGGGUGAACGGCCACAUUGGGACUGAGACACGGCCCAAACUCCUACGGGAGGCAGCAGUGGGGAAUCUUCCGCAAUGGGCGCAAGCCUGACGGAGCAAUGCCGCGUGAGUGAAGAAGGCCUUCGGGUUGUAAAACUCUGUCCUCAUCCAAGAGAGAGACCUGUAGUAACUGCCAGGUCUAGGACGGUAGAUGAGGAGGAAGCCCCG
rnacentral:rRNA from 1 species